rnacentral:rRNA from 1 species
UGGGCUGUAGCGAGACGCACUAAAGCGAAGGCAUUUGUCAAGAGUGUUUUCAUUAAUCAAGAACGAAAGUCAGAGGUUCGAAGGCGAUUAGAUACCGCCCUAGUUCUGACCGUAAAUGAUGCCAACUGACAAUUCGCUCGUGGAUUUCCUUCAUGAGCGAGCGGUCUUCCGGAAACGAAAGUCUUUCGGUUCCGGGGGAAGUAUGGUUGCAAAGCUGAAACUUAAAGGAAUUGACGGAAGGGCACCACCAGGAGUGGAGCUUGCGGCUUAAUUUGACUCAACACGGGAAACCUCACCCGGCCAGUACAUCGUAAGGAUUGACAGACCGAUAGCUCUUUCAUGAUUCGGUGAAUGGUGGUGCAUGGCCGUUCUUAGUUCGUGGUGCUGACUUGUCUGGUUUAUUCCGAUAACGAGCGAGACGCUGACCAUUAACUAGUGCGCAGAUUACUUCGGUUGUCUGUGAUCACUUCUUAAAGGGAUUUGUGGUGACUAGCCUCAUGAAAUGGCGCAAUAACAGGUCUGUGAUGCCCUUAGAUGUUCGGGGCCGCACGCGUGCUACAAUGGUGGUAUCAGCGUGAUUGUCCUACUCCGAAAGGAGAUGGCAAACAGUUGAGAUAUUAUUAUGGCUGGAAUUGAGUAUUGAAAUUUUCACUCAUGAACGAGGAAUUCCAAGUAAAUGCGAGUCAUCAACUCGCAUUGAUUACGUCCCUGCCCUUUGUACACACCGCCCGUCGCUCCCCGGGACUGAGUUGUUUCGAGAAAGCCACGGACCGGUGGCUACUCAUGUUUCGGCAUGAUGUCGC